rnacentral:rRNA from 1 species
AGAGUUUGAUCCUGGCUCAGGACGAACGCUGGCGGCGUGCCUCAUACAUGCAAGUCGAGCGGGGUCCAUCUUGGGGUAACCCAGGGGAAGACCUAGCGGCGAACGGGUGAGUAACACGUGACCAACCAACCUCGAACACUGGGAUAAGCCCGGGAAACUGGGUCUAAUACCGGAUACCCUCGUCGGAUCACAUGGUCCCUCGAGGAAAGGUCCGCUGGUUCGGGACGGGGUCGCGGCCUAUCAGCUUGUUGGUGAGGUAAUGGCUUACCAAGGCUUCGACGGGUAGCUGGCCUGAGAGGGUGAUCAGCCACACUGGAACUGAGACACGGUCCAGACUCCUACGGGAGGCAGCAGUAGGGAAUAUUGCGCAAUGGGCGAAAGCCUGACGCAGCGACGCCGCGUGAGGGAUGAAGGCCUUCGGGUCGUAAACCUCUUUUGGCAGGGAAGAAGCUUUUGUGACGGUACCUGCAGAAUAAGCCCCGGCCAACUACGUGCCAGCAGCCGCGGUAAUACGUAGGGGGCGAGCGUUGUCCGGAAUCAUUGGGCGUAAAGAGCUCGUAGGCGGUUUCGUAAGUCGGGUGUGAAAACUCAGGGCUCAACUCUGAGACGCCACUCGAUACUGCGCUGACUAGAUCCGGUAGAGGAGUAGGGAAUUCCUGGUGUAGCGGUGAAAUGCGCAGAUAUCAGGAGGAACACCAGUGGCGAAGGCGCCACUCUGGGCCGGUACUGACGCUGAGGAGCGAAAGCAUGGGGAGCGAACAGGAUUAGAUACCCUGGUAGUCCAUGCCGUAAACGUUGGGCACUAGGUGUGGGUCUCAUCCAACGAGAUCUGUGCCGUAGCUAACGCAUUAAGUGCCCCGCCUGGGGAGUACGGUCGCAAGACUAAAACUCAAAGGAAUUGACGGGGGACCGCACAAGCGGCGGAGCAUGUUGCUUAAUUCGAGGCAACGGGAAGAACCUUUCCUGGGCUUGACAUGUAGGGAAAAGCCGUAGAGAUACGGUGUCCUUUGGGGCCCUACACAGGUGUUGCAUGGCUGUCGUCAGCUCGUGUCGUGAGAUGUUGGGUUAAGUCCCGCAACGAGCGCAACCCCUGUUCUAUGUUGCCAGCGAGUAAUGUCGGGGACUCAUAGGAGACUGCCGGGGUCAACUCGGAGGAAGGUGGGGACGACGUCAAGUCAUCAUGGCCCUUACGCCCAGGGCUGCAAACAUGCUACAAUGGCCGGUACAGAGGGCUGCGAACUCGCGAGGGUAAGCGAAUCCCGUAAAGCCGGUCUCAGUUCGGAUCGCAGUCUGCAACUCGACUGCGUGAAGCUGGAGUCGCUAGUAAUGGCAGAUCAGCAACGCUGCCGUGAAUACGUUCCCGGGCCUUGUACACACCGCCCGUCACACCACGAAAGUCGGUAACACCCGAAGUCAGUGGCCCAACCAUUUGGAGGGAGCUGUCGAAGGUGGAG